rnacentral:misc_RNA from 1 species
AAAUAGAUGUAAACAAGACAAGUUUUGUGUUUGUACCCUGUCGACCGACUGCCGCUAUGAACAGCAAGUUAUGAGAAAAAAUGAGAGAAGAUUCAAGAAGAAAGUUGGGGAUACUUUGCUGUACACCUUUUCCGUAACUGAUCAUGACAGAGGUGUGUAAGAUACAGCCUGGUGGCCGGCCGGUCCCGGAGCCCACCGAUUCCCCCUCCCCGGGGCCUGUGAUUGUCAGGUACCUGACAGGUACGGAGGACGACCGCCUGUUUGCUGGCCGGAUGAUGGUGGAAGCGUUUGAACGGAAACUGGUUCAUGCAACAAGCAGGGGCAGGUCUGGAAACUAUAUGCCUCCUGUUACAACUGUACCAUCUAAAAUUGUUGAAAAAUCAAUGUUCAAGUUUAAACCUGCAUAAUUAUAUAAUUAAUUUUUGGUGGCGAUUAUAUAUUACUAGUAACAGUCUGCAUUCAAAUUUUUUCAAUGCUUAACAACGCAUGAAAUGUAAAAUUGCUUGUUUUAGUUUACCAGACAUGAGAGAUUCGUAUGCCAACAGUCUGAGAGAAAGACCGCCAGAAUUCUAUGAGAGACACCUAUUGGCCGAAUACAAUGGAGAGAAGGCGGGGUCAUGUGUUCUGCGUUACCAUGGUGAUAGCGAACUAUUCCAAGAUAGAGAAGAAGACAUGGCCCCUGUGGGAUGUACGGAUUUUUGCGGGCUUGAACUGCUGAAUAAGUCAAGAAAGGAAGGUAUUCCUACGGGAACGUGUUCGAUAAACCAUUUAGCUGUCGACUCUUGUUUCAGAAGGAAAGGAAUAGGAAAAAUCUUAUUAAACACCGCUGAAAAAGAUGCUCUAAGACAUGGAUGCUCAGUUAUGGAUCUGUGGGUUGCCUCCAAUAACAAAGCUCGGUUGUUUUUUGAGGGUCAGGGUUACAUGGUCCUAGAGACAGACACGGGCUGCUGCUGCGGACUCUGGUGUAUGACUGGAGUGUGGAGACUUAAUCGAAUGGAAAAGAAACUGAGCUGACAUAGUGCUGAAAGUUUAUAAGCUAAAAUGAAAAUGUGAAAUUUGACUUCAUUUGUUGUUUUACAUGCUUCAGGAUAUUUGACAUUUGAUAAGUUUAAUAUGUGAGCGUUCACAUUUGUCACAAACAAUUAUAUAUGUAUAUAUGAAUUAUAUAUGUAUGCCUAAUUGGUGUGUAAUUAUAAAUCAUUUCAUCCAUUAUAUUAUAUUAAUUUUUAUCAGAGUAAAACAACAAAAAGCAAUGUCACAAUUUAUAGAGUAUUAAAUGUUGAAAGAU